AGGUGGUGCAUGGUUGUCGUCAGCUCGUGUCGUGAGAUGUUGGGUUAAGUCCCGCAACGAGCGCAACCCUUGUCCUUAGUUGCCAGCAUUCAGUUGGGCACUCUAAGGAGACUGCCGGUGACAAACCGGAGGAAGGUGGGGAUGACGUCAAAUCAUCAUGCCCCUUAUGACCUGGGCUACACACGUGCUACAAUGGAUGGUACAAAGGGCUGCGAGACCGCGAGGCUUAGCCAAUCCCAUAAAACCAUUCUCAGUUCGGAUUGUAGGCUGCAACUCGCCUACAUGAAGCCGGAAUCGCUAGUAAUCGUGGAUCAGCAUGCCACGGUGAAUACGUUCCCGGGUCUUG
rnacentral:rRNA from 1 species